rnacentral:rRNA from 1 species
UGAUGCAGCCAUGCCGCGUGAGUGAUGAAGGCCUUAGGGUUGUAAAGCUCUUUCGCCGGGGAUGAUAAUGACUGUACCCGGUAAAGAAAGCCCGGCUAACUCCGUGCCAGCAGCCGCGGUAAUACGGAGGGGGUUAGCGUUGUUCGGAAUUACUGGGCGUAAAGCGCACGUAGGCGGAUUGAUAAGUUAAUUGUGAAAUCCCGGGGCUCAACCUUGGAACUGCCUUAAAGACUCCUUAGUCUAGAGUUCGAGAGAGGUGAGUGGAAUUCCGAGUGUAGAGGUGAAAUUCGUAUAUAUUCGGAGGAACACCAGUGGCGAAGGCGGCUUUCUGGAUCAUUACUGACGCUGAGAUGCGAAAGUGUGGGUAGCAAACAGGAUUAGAUACCCUGGUAGUCCACACCGUAAACGAUGAUUGCUAGACGUGGGGAAUUAUUUCUCUGUAUGACACCUCUAACGUAUUAUACUUUCCCCCGGGAGAAUAACGUCGCGGUAUUAACUCUCAGGAGAUUUGAGG